AGCGAACGCUGGCGGCAGGCUUAACACAUGCAAGUCGAACGGUCCUUCGGGAUAGUGGCGGACGGGUGAGUAACACGUGGGAACGUACCCUUAGGUUCGGAACAACACAGGGAAACUUGUGCUAAUACCGGAUAAGCCCUUCGGGGGAAAGAUUUAUCGCCUUUGGAGCGGCCCGCGUCUGAUUAGCUUGUUGGGGAGGUAAUGGCUCACCAAGGCUACGAUCAGUAGCUGGUCUGAGAGGAUGGCCAGCCACACUGGGACUGAGACACGGCCCAGACUCCUACGGGAGGCAGCAGUGGGGAAUCUUGCGCAAUGGGCGAAAGCCUGACGCAGCCAUGCCGCGCGGAUGAUGAAGGUCUUAGGAUUGUAAAAUCCUUUCACCGGGGACGAUAAUGACGGUACCCGGAGAAGAAGCCCCGGCUAACUUCGUGCCAGCCGCCGCAGUAA
rnacentral:rRNA from 1 species